rnacentral:ncRNA from 1 species
UAACUCAUUUAUUUUAUAGAGUGGUUCCCUGUGUUCUGGUAAAAGCUUUAUUUUCAAGACUUCUUUAUAAAAUAAAAAUGUAAAGAAAAACCUAGCUGUAAGACAAUGUAGCUUUUGAGGCCCUGUAAUUGGAAUGAGUCCACUUUAAAUCCUUUAAUGAGGAUCCAUUGUAGGGCAAGUCUGGUGCCAGCAGCCGCGGUAAUUCCAGCUCCAAUAGUGUAUAUUAAAGUUGCUGCAGUUAAAAAGCUCGUAGUUGGAUCUUGGGAGCAGGCGUGAGGUCCACUGCGAGGCGAGCCACCGCCCCUCCCCAACCGUUAACUCUCGGCGCCCCCUCGAUGCUCUAGCCCUGGAUGUACUACUGAGAAACUAUUUAACAAAUCUCAAAUUAACAGAUUUUUUGUUUAGGACUAUUU